UAGUUAUAGCAUUUAUACCGUGAAACUGCGAAUGGCUCAUUAAAUCAGUUAUCGUUUAUUUGAUAAUACCUUACUACUUGGAUAACCGUGGUAAUUCUAGAGCUAAUACAUGCUGAAAAUCCCGACUUCGGAAGGGAUGUGUUUAUUAGAUAAAAAACCAAUGCCCUUCGGGGCUCUUUGGUGAUUCAUGAUAACUUUACGGAUCGCAUAGCCUUGCGCUGGCGACGGUUCAUUCAAAUUUCUGCCCUAUCAACUUUCGAUGGUAAGGUAUUGGCUUACCAUGGUUUCAACGGGUAACGGGGAAUUAGGGUUCGAUUCCGGAGAGGGAGCCUGAGAAACGGCUACCACAUCCAAGGAAGGCAGCAGGCGCGCAAAUUACCCAAUCCCGACACGGGGAGGUAGUGACAAUAAAUACUGAUACAGGGCUCUUUUGGGUCUUGUAAUUGGAAUGAGUACAAUUUAAACCUCUUAACGAGGAACAAUUGGAGGGCAAGUCUGGUGCCAGCAGCCGCGGUAAUUCCAGCUCCAAUAGCGUAUAUUAAAGUUGUUGCAGUUAAAAAGCUCGUAGUUGAAACUUGGGCCUGGCUGGCGGGUCCGCCUCACCGCGUGCACUCGUCCGGCCGGGCCUUCCUUCUGAAGAACCUCAUGCCCUUCACUGGGGCGUGUUGGGGAAUCAGGACUUUUACUUUGAAAAAAUUAGAGUGUUCAAAGCAGGCCUUUGCUCGAAUACGUUAGCAUGGAAUAAUAAAAUAGGGCGUGCGUUUCUAUUUUGUUGGUUUCUAGAGACGCCGCAAUGAUUAACAGGAACAGUCGGGGGCAUCAGUAUUCAGUUGUCAGAGGUGAAAUUCUUGGAUUUACUGAA
rnacentral:rRNA from 1 species